rnacentral:rRNA from 1 species
AUUGAACGCUGGCGGCAGGCUUAACACAUGCAAGUCGAGCGGAUGACGGGAGCUUGCUCCUUGAUUCAGCGGCGGGCGGGUGAGUAAUGCCUAGGAAUCUGCCUGGUAGUGGGGGACAACGUUUCGAAAGGAACGCUAAUACCGCAUACGUCCUACGGGAGAAAGCAGGGGACCUUCGGGCCUUGCGCUAUCAGCUGAGCCUAGGUCGGAUUAGCUUGUUGGUGAGGUAAUGGCUCACCAAGGCGACGAUCCGUAACUGGUCUGAGAGGAUGAUCAGUCACACUGGAACUGAGACACGGUCCAGACUCCUACGGGAGGCAGCAGUGGGGAAUAUUGGACAAUGGGCGAAAGCCUGAUCCAGCCAUGCCGCGUGUGUGAAGAAGGUCUUCGGAUUGUAAAGCACUUUAAGUUGGGAGGAAGGGUUGUAGAUUAAUACUCUGCAAUUUUGACGUUACCGACAGAAUAAGCACCGGCUAACUCUGUGCCAGCCGCCGCGGUAACAC